rnacentral:tRNA from 1 species
UCCGUGGUGGUCCAAUGGCUAAGACUCUUCACUCCCAAUGCAGGGGCCCAGGUUCGAUCCCUGGUCGGGGUA